rnacentral:rRNA from 1 species
GCGAAGGCGCUCUGCUGGGCCAUCACUGACGCUCAUGGACGAAAGCCAGGGGAGCGAAAGGGAUUAGAUACCCCUGUAGUCCUGGCCGUAAACGAUGAACACUAGGUGUCGGGGGAAUCGACCCCUCCGGUGUCGUAGCCAACGCGUUAAGUGUUCCGCCUGGGGAGUACGCACGCAAGUGUGAAACUCAAAGGAAUUGACGGGGGCCCGCACAAGCGGUGGAGUAUGUGGUUUAAUUCGAUGCAACGCGAAGAACCUUACCAGGGUUUGACAUCCUGCGAAUCUCUUGGAAACUUGAGAGUGCCUUCGGGAGCGCAGUGACAGGUGGUGCAUGGCUGUCGUCAGCUCGUGUCGUGAGAUGUUGGGUUAAGUCCCGCAACGAGCGCAACCCACGUCUUUAGUUGCCAGCAUUUAGUUGGGCACUCUAGAGAGACCGCCGGUGAUAAACCGGAGGAAGGUGUGGAUGACGUCAAGUCAUCAUGCCCCUUACAUCCUGGGCUACACACGUACUACAAUGCCACGGACAAAGGGCAGCAAGUUCGCGAGGACAAGCAAAUCCCAUAAACCGUGGCUCAGUUCAGAUCGUAGGCUGCAACUCGCCUACGUGAAGGAGGAAUCGCUAGUAAUCGCAGGUCAGCAUACUGCGGUGAAUACGUUCCCGGGCCUUGUACACACCGCCCGUCACACCAUGGAAGUUGGCCACGCCCGAAGCCGUUACUCCAACCCUUGUGGAGGAGGACGUCGAAGGUGGGGCUGAUGACUGGGGUGAAGUCGUAACAAGGUAACCGUA